AAAGACUUAUGCAGCCAAGAAUGACUUGCCGAUCUAUCUCCAUCGACUGUUCGAAGAGGAAGAAAGUUCUAUAUAUAUUCCCUGUGAGAAGACUCGAUUGGCCUGACGGGGGUUAAUGGAAUCGGCAAGUUGAUCUUGGCUACAUGUUUCUUCCG
rnacentral:pre_miRNA from 1 species